GUGAGGAAUUUUCCGCAAUGGGCGAAAGCCUGACGGAGCAAUGCCGCGUGAAGGAUGAAGGCCUAUGGGUUGUAAACUUCUUUUCUCAGAAAAGAAUUAUGACGGUAUCUGAGGAAUAAGCAUCGGCUAACUCUGUGCCAGCAGCCGCGGUAAGACAGAGGAUGCAAGCGUUAUCCGGAAUGAUUGGGCGUAAAGCGUCUGUAGGUUGUUUAAAAAGUAUUCUGUCAAAGAUUAGGGCUUAACCCUAGAUAGGCAGAAUAAACUUUUAAGCUAGAGUUUGGUAGAGGCAGAGGGAAUUCCCGGUGGAGCGGUGAAAUGCGUAGAUAUCGGGAGGAACACCAAAAGCGAAGGCACUCUGCUGGGCCAAUACUAACACUGAGAGACGAAAGCGAGGGGAGCAAAUGGGAUUAGAAACCCUAGUAGUCC
rnacentral:rRNA from 1 species